UACGAGGGGUGCAAGCGUUGCUCGGAAUUAUUGGGCGUAAAGGGUUGGUAGGUGGUCUUAUUUGUCUGGGGUGAAAGCCUUGGGCUUAACUCAAGAAGUGCCCCAGAAACGGUAAGACUAGAGUCUCGGAGAGGGGUCGUGGAAUUCCCGGUGUAGAGGUGAAAUUCGUAGAUAUUGGGGAAGAACACCGGUGGCGAAGGCGGCUAUCUGGACCGUAACUGACGCUGAGGCGCG
rnacentral:rRNA from 1 species